rnacentral:rRNA from 1 species
AUUGAACGCUGGCGGCAGGCCUAACACAUGCAAGUCGAACGAGUGGCGGACGGGUGAGUAAUGUCUGGGAAACUGCCUGAUGGAGGGGGAUAACUACUGGAAACGGUAGCUACUACCGCAUACCAUCGGAUGUGCCCAAAUGGUAUUAGCUAGUAGGUGGGGGAAAGGCUCACAUAGGCAACGAUCCAUAGCGGGUCUGAGAGGAUGACCAGCCACACUGGAACUGAGACACGGACCAGACUCCUACGGGAGGCAGCAGUGGGGAAUAUUGGACAAUGGGCGAAAGCCUGACGCAGCAAUGCCGCGUGAAUGAAGAAGGCCUUCGGAUUGUAAAGUUCUUUCAGCGGGGAGGCGUUACCCGCAGAAGAAGCACCGGCUAACUCCGUGCCAGCAGCCGCGGUAAUAC